AAUCAACGCUGGCGGCGUGCCUAACACAUGCAAGUCGAACGAGAAAGUGGAGCAAUCCAUGAGUAAAGUGGCGCACGGGUGAGUAACACGUGACUAACCUACCCUUGAGUGGGGGAUAACCUCGGGAAACCGGGGCUAAUACCGCAUAAUAUCGAGAGAUCAAAGGAGCAAUUCGCUUAAGGAGGGGGUCGCGGCUGAUUAGCUAGUUGGUGAGGUAAUGGCUCACCAAGGCUANGAUCAGUAUCCGGCCUGAGAGGGCGCACGGACACACUGGAACUGAAACACGGUCCAGACUCCUACGGGAGGCAGCAGUGGGGAAUUUUGCGCAAUGGGGGAAACCCCUGACGCAGCAACGCCGCGUGGA
rnacentral:rRNA from 1 species